UACGGGGGGGGGCAAGCGUUGUUCGGAAUUACUGGGCGUAAAGGGCGCGUAGGCGGCCUGCUAAGUCGGACGUGAAAUCCCCCGGCUCAACCGGGGAACUGCGUCCGAUACUGGUGGGCUCGAAUCCGGGAGAGGGAUGUGGAAUUCCAGGUGUAGCGGUGAAAUGCGCAGAUAUCAGGAAGAACACCCGUGGCGAAGGCGGCUCUCUGGGACGGUACUGACGCUGAGACGCGAAAGCCGUGGGGAGCGAACAGG
rnacentral:rRNA from 1 species